AUUGCGCAUGGGCGAAGCCUGAGCAGCAACGCCGCGUGGGGGAUGAAGGCCUUCGGGUUGUAAACCCCUUUCGAUCGGAAAGAAACUUUCAAUGAUGAAUAAUCAUUGAAACUGACGGUACCGAGAGAAGAAGCCACGGCUAACUCUGUGCCAGCAGCCGCGGUAAGGCAGAGGUGGCAAGCGUUGUUCGGAUUUACUGGGCGUAAAGCGCGUGUAGGCGGUUUGGUAAGUCAGGCGUGAAAUCCUAUAGCUUAACUAUAGAACUGCGUUUGAUACUGCCUUACUUGAGUGCGGGAGAGGAGAGUGGAAUUCCCGGUGUAGCGGUGAGAUGCGUAGAUAUCGGGAGGAACACCGGUGGCGAAGGCGACACUCUGGACCGCAACUGACGCUGAGACGCGAAAG
rnacentral:rRNA from 1 species